AUAAAAACAUUAAUACAUAUACAAAUACAGUAAAAUGCAUUUGUAUCUGCCUAGACAUAGUAAAGAAGCUUUGGAAACCUCCAGAUCGCUUCAAAAACUGGAGUGGGACAUGUAUGCAGGUCCACACAGAAAACUAAUACGAUGAAUUCCCAUUGUUUUUUUUUGUUGUUGUUGUUGUGUUGUGUUGUUUGUUUGUUUAGUACACUUUUCCCGUCAGCGUGAAGGCAUGAAAGAGAAGCACAACGAACCAAAUCCCCGUGGCCUGCCUGCCAUUUGCCUGGAACUGCAAGGAUCCCUAUGAGAAGACUGAUGUAUGUCACCUAUCAUUACUGCUGCAGAGGGAAUUUCAUAACCAAGCUUGUCAACAAUGACUUGGCUUCCUCAAAUAGCCUAUGUAGGUCAAUAAGGAAAGCGGGUGAUGUUAUGGAGAACCUCUGGAAGAACAAAAUCCGGGCGAUGAAAAAUGGAAGGCAAGCUGUUGUUGGAAAGAAAAGGAAUGCCCAAGUCCCACUUGUUUUUCUUAUUCCAGGAAAGAUAUGAUGUUCACUUUAUUCUUCUUAUACUAUUCCUCUCCUUCUUCUUCUCGAUCUAUCCCUCCCUUUAACAUCUCCUUUUUGUUCUUCCAAUCCCAUCCUUCUCUCUUUCCCCACUUUCAUUUUCCUUUCACCUAUAACUACCUUCUCCCAUACCUUUGUCUACUUCUCUUUCUCAACAUACACUCACCUUCAACUACAUACUUAUCCUUCAUAGUCCAUUCCUAUAUCAACUCUUAAUUCCCAUGGCACUGUUCUGUGGAAUUCAAGGAUUUGUCAUUUGCUGAGGCACUUAAACUUAUCUAGAGCUACUUCUCUAGCGUGCCAUAGCAGAGGGUUUUCAGCGCCUCAUAAAACUACAAAUCCCAGGACUCUAUAUGUUGGAACCAUACAGUUAAAGUGGCAUCAAAGUGCUAUAAAUCUACAUCCAGAGAUAGUUGCACUAUACUACAAUGUUAAAGCACUGAAGCCUUAAAGAAAGGUAACCCAUGAGAAAAGACAGCAUGGUUUCAGAUGGAUAAUGUUGUCUGGUCUCUAUAAAAUUUUGUGAUUAGCACAAGGCAAAUGCACAAUAUUUUUUCCUCCUCUGAGGGGAAAGCACUCUCCUUUGCUCAGUCAUUCUUUCACAUUCUCCAAUUCCUCUUUUGCCCUUCUGCUUGUCCUCUAUUAUAUAUAUAAAAAAGGCUUUUAAAAGCCAAAUGAGAAGCAUCGGUGGUUUUAUUGAUGCUAAUCCACUUUAUACGUGAAGACCAAAAUGCAAGAAAAUGUUAGGAUAAACAGAAAACCAUGCCCAAAUCUCCAUAACAUUUGGUGUUCUGUUUCCUUCUAGUAGAAGAAAAAUGCCCAGAAAGAAGAGAGAGGCAUUAAGGAGAACACUUAUUCCCUGCAAUUAAUAUUUUUCACCGUCAACAUUGGGAUUUCCUCUGAGAUUUGUGUUUCAUCCAUCAGACUGGCAAAUUAGUCCUGUCUUUACCUCUCAAUGAUCAGUCCCAAAAUGAAGCAUGCGAAAUGCAAGAUGUGUAGUCUUUCAGGAUAUUGGAACAUGUUGCAACUCCUUAAGUGGUUGUAUUGAUUUCAACAAUCCUAAUUGCGUCCGGAACGGAGAGUUUGAUCCUGCUUCCUUGAAGUCACAGAGCUGGACACUUACUUCAGGGAUGAUGCCAAAACCAACGCUCCAAAAUUGAUCCAAAUCAAAUUGGUCAGACAGAAAAAAAUUCCAGAAAAAGAGGAUGGUUUGUGCAUAUUCCUUGGGUACAAUCAAAUUUAUUUUUAAAGCAACACUUGGCUGUUUUUAAUAAGGCAUUAAUCCUCUACUGAAGGUCCUAACAACCUAAAAGAAAGAAAGACAGUACUUUGUGUUUAACAUAGCCUGGUUUUCAAUUGCCUCUCCUGAUGUUCUUGUAGCAAAGCAUACCAUGUCUUCUGGAGUUAAAAUAAAGCAAUGCAUCCAUAUGCUUUAUGGUGAACUUCAUGCCUACCCUGCUUUGAACCAUUCUUCAGACCGAAAGACAGUGAUCAGUUCUAGGUGGAGCUGAACCCUCAAAGCAAAGCCACCAUCAGAUAGGCUAAUGCUGUGGCAAUUUGACUGCAAUCUCCUUGCAUUAUGUCAAGCUUCUUGUCAAGGUACAAUUAGAUUCGAUUUCUCUUUGUAAGAUGGUCCACCCAGUUUAGAAUAAAAUACCAUCAGAAGCAUCCUUGUUUCCCAAUUGCAGCACCACAUGCUACUCCAGACCGAAUGUGUUUUUAUGAAAAGAACUGGAUAGCCCAGUUGUACAGGUUGACUUAAACUGUGCCAUGAUAAAUACACGCUGAUGUGAAAUCCCAUGCCUAGAAAGGGAGAUGAGAAGAAAAUGCUGCUAAAUGGUGCAGACUUCCUGUUUCCUACAAAGGGAUGUGAGGG